GUCCUGGUCAGGUACUUGUUUGCCCGUGUGCAGGGAAAUAGGAAUGAAAUUGUUUAAUAACAAAUUGAAAGACUAGUACAAAGUCUUCCCUUGAAGAAGACUCCAGGCUACCCUGGAUUCCUUGGAAAGUUAAGCCAAGCAUUUUACCAGAUUACUGGACAUGGAAGAUCUCAACCUACAGGCAGGGGCUGUUAGGGUUCAAGCAGUUCAUCUGUGUGGUUUGUUUGGGAUUUUAAAAACUUAUGCAGAAACUAUCAGCUAUAAGGAAUUACUACCUAAAUCAUGGCUAUAAUGAGUUUUAGAUGUGCUGGCUUAACAUGAGAAAGUGUAUACAUCAGAGGUCAAUCAGGAAAACAGAAAUCACUUUGGGCAUUUCAGGCAGAGGAUUAAUAUUAGGAAUCAGGUGUUUACAACAUUGAAGAGGAGAAAGUCAGGGGAAGUUACCACCGGCUUCCAGGUUUGAGCUGUUGCUGUGGUCCUGAAAGCAGUGAGUUGUGGCUGUCACACAAGAACUACAGGAACUAGCCACCAAUCAUUAUUUCUCCUUGUUGCAUAGAGAUGAGUGACUAACAGUGAAAUACCUGUGGUCAUUACAACAUUUCCCAUCUGCUUCAUCCCACAUACCUAUCCACUGCUGCAAGAGGAAGAAAGAAAUUACUUUUGCCUCUCUUCUGCCUAACUAACAUCGAGUGUAUUUGUGGCUGACUGUAAAUUUCAUCCAAGAUCCUGGAUGAAAUGUGAUCAGAGAACUACAGUUCCAAGACUCUCCAGCACUCGUGAUACAGAGAAGAGAAUAGAAGGGAGUGGAAAUGCAUUUUGGAUAAAGAAAACGAAGCAGUCUACUUCUUUGGCUAUUCAGCAACCAUACAGAUCUUUCUAUUUAUAAUCAAGUUUACAAAUAACAGCAGCAAAAAUAGCCUGCUUCCUCCUAAUGUAAUGCAACAAUCUCUUAUACAAAGGAAAGCAUAUUCACCCUUUCCUCUGGAAGGGGACAGCCAAAGUCUCAUCAAUCAUUAUGAAUGAUAUUUCUAGUUCAGUCAUAAUCCCCCUUUGAUAUUCUAUACACAGUGGAUUAAUUUAUAAUGUUAACUACCACCAACACAACUUAUAUGAAGUAAUAAAAAGGGGAACAGGAAGAAAGGUUGAUAAAGUACAUAUAUAACAGAACAUGGAAAAGUGUACAUAGGAACUUCAUGCUUGUUUCUGCAACUCAUCAUUGCACUAUAACUUACAUUUAUUAUCUCCUUAAUAAACUACGUAUAUCCUGUC